CAGGGACAGAGUUGGUCCCUGCUGUCCAGGCGGGGACAGAAAGCCGGGUUAGUGGUGCCCAGCGGUCUGGGAUUUGGGUUCACUUUCUUCACUGGUUCUCUUGGCACCCGCUCAAAUUCUGCGGUCUUGUCGGGGGCCCAGGUCGGGCUCUGCACUGUGGCCUCCUGCCCAUCUGGCCAAGGCUUUCGGGAUCCCCAAAAUGCAAACGGGUGGCUGGUGCCUGAGCAGGAGAGGGAAGGCUUUAUAUGAAGAGAAAUCGUUCUAAACACGGAAAAAUCCCUUGUCAGCUAUCUGGCUUCAAAGUCCACAACGUGUUUCAGAUAAGCACCAGCCUGCAUAGACGCAGCCCCGUUGCCACACAGUCUAAAAGAAAACAGCCCUUCUUCAGAAAGGAAACACAACAGCCACUACAAAAAAUCACUGGAUUCUGGAAAAAAAAUCAAUAUCAAAAUUAGAUUUAUUGUCUGCUUAUGUGAUUAAAAAUGACAAAGUGUUGCCUCUUAUUUUCAUAAAAAGAGAGAAGGCUGAACAAAAUAAUUUACUAUCGAGUUGUGCUCGUUUCAUUUGCCUGGCAAAACCUGGAGGAGGCCUGUAGGGCGUUUGUGGAGUGCAGUGGCAGAACCAGAAGCCCACUGCGCAGGAGUGAGCUCGCUGUCAGAGGAUGUGUGUGCUACAGUGUCUGAGAACAAUUUCCUAGUCCCCAAUAUGUGGCCACGCUGGUUCAGCUGAGCAGGUCUCAGUUCUGCCUCGUUCCAGAGAAAUACAGGGUGAUCUGUCCCUUGCUCACAAUUUUUUGAUUCAAACCCAGACUCCAGGUCCUGUUCUUCCAAAUAACUUUCAAGAUGACACUGCUGUAUUGGUUUCCGUCACAGUCUUCCUGGUUCGCUUAGCCACCGCCUCCCAGAUCCGCAUCCAGCCUUCGAUCCUGCGAAGAGCUACGCAGUCCGUGUGUGUGUGUGUGUGUGUGUGUGUGUGUGUGUGUGUGUGUGUGUGUGUGUCCGACUGCUUGGCCCAGGCCGGGCUCUCUUUCCUGGGAGGCUCUCAGGGUUUCAGUCUAGGCUGGAAUCACUCAAACUGGGUUUCCGAAACCUCUGUGGGCUGGAUUCCUCAAGUGUGGCAGGCGGAGAGCGCAUUCUAGGAAAACGACUUCAUUGGGAACGUGCUGAUUACACGGACGAUGGGGUUAUUUAUCUACGUUAAAAACAAAAAAGGAAAAACUAAAAAAAUCCGGUGUGUAUCUCAUCUUACACUCCCCUUCCGUUCCCCAAGCCGAAUCAGACUACCCGUGUCUUUCCGCUGCUGCUGCUGCUGCUGCUCUUGGGUUAGGGUCCAUGUGCGCAGCCAGGGUUCCUAUUCAUCCGCUGCCUUCCUCCGGAACAAAGUGGCUCCCCAUCGUGCCAGGGGUCUUGGAGCGAGGCCCGCGAGAGUGCAAAUAGCUUCACUCACACUUAACAGCACCAUUGGAAAAAUAACUACCAAGCCGGGUCCCUGAGAGUCCCUAAACGUGCCUUCCGAUUUGGAACUGGCGUUGUUUGGCGGGUUGCACACGCCAGGGACUAAUUUGUACAGGCGUUAAUUGGUCCUCCGUUUGUUCUGAAGCCAAACCCAGAGGGUUCAUCUCCUGGUAUUGAUGCAAAUGAAACCCAACCAAACAAUCUCCUCCAUAGAAUCCCCAGGGGGCAUGGCUCCUGCAAGGUCGUCCUGGCCUCCCCUUGGGGUCCAGGGCUUAAGGAGAAGCGGAUAUGGUCCCUUGUUACUUGUAAAGGUGACAGGCCCCGCUGGACGCCAACGCUGGACUAGCAGUGGCCCAAGACCCGCCAGCUCAGCAGCCGCCUGCUGUUAGGCUCGACUUUUGUCUCUCUUCGCCCCCCGUCGUGCGGGGCCAGAACACCCUUGAGUCAGGGCGUCUUUUCCCCAGAUGCUGGAAGGGAAGUGGCAAGGGAGCCUGGAUCCCAACAGACAGGCCUGACCUGCCCGCCUCUGGGAUGGUGAAGGCAGCCAGAGGGUCGGGCGUCGGGUGGCCCCUGCUGUGGGGCAGCUCCAGCUCCUUUCUGCGUCAAGGUAGAUUACUCCACUAGCUUCCUGGGGAACAAACCCAGCCUUUCCUAUUGCCCUGCGGGCCCCUGUCUAGCCUCGUCUCCCAACCCGCCUCCCUCUGCAGACUCUAGCACCCCGGAGCUGCCGGGCCAAGGGUCAAAGGUCAGGCCUUCUCUAGGCCCAGACUUCCUUUCCGCUUGGGCUGGUGUGAGUGCACGAGUCGCCCAGGCCUAUCAUUCCCGCUGGACGCCCAUUUCCAGAGUGAACAGGCGCAUACCCCAGAGCUUAACCUUCGCUUCCCAACUUAGCCGCUCUGCUCUUUGAUUAUGUGGGGUCUUGAUGGGGGUGGAGCAGUUUAAUUUAGGAAAUUAUAUCCAGACCAUAAAGUGACCUAUCUGGACAUUUUAGGAGGUUUUUUGUUUGUUUUUGUUUUUGAGAUUUUAAUGAUUUCUCUAAGCUUAAGCAAGUCAAGGUGGCUUUGACCACAGGACUGAGGAGGAGUCUCCCAUUGCAUCAUUUCAUUGCCCCAACCUGGCCACAGCUGGAAAGAAGUUGCCAGAAGGGAUACAGGAAAAGCAAACGAAUGCCCAGCCCUUCAAAUAGACAGUUCUGUUCCAAAGGGGCCGACCUAUUGCCUGAGUGGGGGCAAGGCUGGGAGAGUAAAAAGCAGAUUUCUAUGCAUGCUCAUGUGGCCCAAUGUAAUGAACACAUCUCUAUCAAUUUCUGGAGGCAGAAGGCUCAAUUUAUUUUGGUUUUAGUGGUGGAAAGUCCUCAGCCUUAGCUCUGACUGAUGACAGAGCAGCCGAGUAGUUAGAAUUCUCUCUCCAACGAAAGCGAUGGUCAAUAGAAUUCUCAGUAUCAAAUGAGCAAUAAUUUGCUGUGGCUACAUGCUGGAUAAUGAAAGAUGUUAGCAGGAUCAAUAAAAAAUGAAAACACUUUUACUUACAUCUUGAGUUACUGUUUUAAGAGAGCGAGAGAUGUAACAAACCCAAAGCCAGGUUCAGAGCCACCCAACACACCCCUCAAAACCCCAAGGCACACAGUUUUGUCACCACCUGACUGGCCCUUCCAGAAUGCCAGGCCUCCACCUUUUCCCUCAGGAGAGUAGAUUAUUUACAUUAAAUUAACCCUGUAGAGACCAGUAAUAAUUUAACUGCCAGGGUUUAAAAUUUUUCUUUUGUUUCCUAAAGCCAGGAAUACAUUUUAAAUUGUUUUCCACCAGGAUUAAAGGUCACGUAAUAGGUUGCAGUUUACCAAAAAAGUGUGCAAGUGUCCCAGAGCUGAUCUGUCUGUUGAAAUGCCUCAAAAUGUGCAUCUGACCCAGAUGCCUAGGAGGGCAAAAGAAUAGAUUUAAUUCCUUUGGAUUUGUUCUGUGUUGCCAUUUAAUCUGUAAAGUUCAGACCCUAAACUCGAUUUUUUCCAGACAAGUUAAUUCCCCCAUCUUCUUUCAUAAUCAUUUCAUCUGUUUAAUUUGUUUUCCAUUUGGAUUGGGUUUAUUUGUACUUUCCAGUCUGCUUUUCUCACCACUCAAUCCCAAACGUUUUCUUACAUAUCUGGUUGUUAAGGAACAUACUGUGAAACAAUCAGAGACACAUUCUACAUUUUUAAAAGAUACCAAGACGUAAAAGACGAGAAAAACAUCCCGGGUGCUCUGCAUAAACCACACGCAACGAAAAAGCUCACCGCCAGACAGCUUCCAGCACUCGAACCAAUACAAGUAAAGCACAUUUGCAAAUGUGUUUGACUGUUUUUGUAGGUUUAAGAAGACUACGUUUUUCUGACCACUUCAAAAAAACAAACACGAAUUCAGCCGCUGCUUUAAUAACCUCUGACCAGAGGAGCUGAUUUUGCCACCGAGUUAUCGGUCAGUGCUGCGAGGUCAGUGGCCUGUGAUCAUGUUUAUAGCAGGUUUGGCUUGGAUUUGGUGACACAGCCAGCAAACCUGGGAGAUUAUGAAACCGUGAACCAGCCCAGGGAAGUGUAGUCAAGUUUCAGUUUGGGCAUUUCUCCGGGUGAGGGAAUCCGGUGGGCUCCAUUUCUACAAGGCUCACAAACGCAGACAGGAACAGGAUGGCCUCCUGCCCGAAGACUUUCUCUGCAGCCAGGCCCGGGGCAGGAGGGUCAGCUGGGCAGCAUCCGGGCCCGCGGAUUCCUGCAAGGUCGCGAGGACCAGAAGUGCUGCCGCCAGGACAUGGUCCCAGGAGAGAGCUCCCACGCAGAAUAUUAGAAUUACAGAUCUUUGAUGCUAAAAGCAGAAUGGACUGAGAGAUGCCUUGGACAUAAGUGAUUUCACAUCUGUAACUAUAUCCUGCAAACAUUUGUAGACACAUCUUGGGAAAGAAGCACUCAUGCUUGCAUCUGUUUCCAACAUCUGUGCAUUUAAGUCAGCAACAAAAGUCACCAGGCAUUUGAGCUUUCCCUGCUAUAAUGUUUCUGAUUUACCUUGACAGCGUGAGUAAUCCAAUCAAAGACAAUAUUCCUCUUGAUUUCAGUAAUGAGAGAGACUACACUUAUCUGAAACCUGUGUUACAUUCAUCUCACCAAUACAGUACUAAUGAAAAGGACAAAUAACUGAGUCUCUCUUGGUGGCCUGCAUGCAACUGCUUAAAUACAUAAGUGCAUAGCAACAAUAUGUGAAUAACAUAUAAAAAUAAAUAUGUUCAAGUGCAGCAGGGUGAGUGGGUUUUGUAGGGUCAGUGGCGUGAAUGGGGGUUAAUUUCUGUUCAGUCAGGUGAGGUACAAAUGCAUCAACUUUGCUGGAAAAUAGUUCCAAUUGUGGCUAAAUGGUCUAGUUUCCUGCAGGAUACAAGCAGCCUAUUAUUUAGUGUUUUAAAAGGCUUGUUCAAAUUUGACCAUUUGUAUGGGAAUCAAUACAACAGAGGAUGGGGACAAAUAUCAGAGGUCACACCAAGCACAUCAUCAAGGGCAGGUCCAAGUGCCCAUAAUUUCUCCAAUAAUCCAGGGGACAAAACCCCUUUUGGUCUGGUG
rnacentral:lncRNA from 10 species